AAUAGCCUAACGGCUGAACCAGCAACUUGGAGGAAUGUAUAGCUACGGCUAAUUGUGUAUAUCUACACGAUAUCGACUCUGUCGAAUAAAAUUCUGGGUAAAUUAUGAUGAUGACAUUUUUUACCUAUGUGUCUUGACCAAAUUGUGUGCCAGCAGUCGCGGUAAUACAUAGAAGACUAGUGUUAUUCAUCUUUAAUAGGUUUAAAGGGUACCUAGACGGUAGAUCAAGCCCUAGACGGGACUAAUUUGCUAGAGUUACUUAUGAGGGGGCUUUAAAGUACUAAUGGUGUAGAGAUAAAAUUUUGUAAUACCAUUUUUCGUAAAGAAAAAUUAUGGCACUGGUAAAGGUGAAAGCAUCCCCCUAUGUGAUAACUGACGUUGAAGGACGAAGGCUUUGGGUCGCGAAUAGGAUUAGAUACCCUAGUAGUCAAAGCAGAAAAUUAUGAGUGUCAUAGAUUAGAUAAUACAGUUUAUUCUAUAAAUGAAAGUGUAAGCACUCCACCUCAAGAGUAAUUUGGCAACAUUGGAACUGAAAUCAUUAGACCGUUUCUGAAACCAGUAGUGAAGUAUGUUGUUUAAUUCGAUGAUCCGCGAAAAACCUUACCACAAUUUGAAUAUGUAUACUUUUGAUAUAUUUACAAGCGUUGCACGGCUGUCUUCAGUUAAUGUCGUGAGACUUUGGUUAGAUCCAUUAAAUUAACGUAAGCCCUUACUUUAUUUUCAUAUAAAGUAGUUCUCCACCAUAUUGGACAAGAUAACAGGGACUAAGACAAGUCAUCAUGGCCUGAAUAUUGUGGGCUAUAGACGUGCCACAUAAACCUCUACAAAGGGAUGUGAAAUUGCGAAAUUAAACUAAUCCCCAAAACUGGAUAUAAUAUCAAU
rnacentral:rRNA from 1 species